rnacentral:misc_RNA from 1 species
GGAGGGAUCAUUACCGAGUUUACAACUCCCAAACCCCUGUGAACAUACCACUUGUUGCCUCGGCGGAUCAGCCCGCUCCCGGUAAAACGGGACGGCCCGCCAGAGGACCCCUAAACUCUGUUUCUAUAUGUAACUUCUGAGUAAAACCAUAAAUAAAUCAAAACUUUCAACAACGGAUCUCUUGGUUCUGGCAUCGAUGAAGAACGCAGCAAAAUGCGAUAAGUAAUGUGAAUUGCAGAAUUCAGUGAAUCAUCGAAUCUUUGAACGCACAUUGCGCCCGCCAGUAUUCUGGCGGGCAUGCCUGUUCGAGCGUCAUUUCAACCCUCAAGCACAGCUUGGUGUUGGGACUCGCGUUAAUUCGCGUUCCCCAAAUUGAUUGGCGGUCACGUCGAGCUUCCAUAGCGUAGUAGUAAAACCCUCGUUACUGGUAAUCGUCGCGGCCACGCCGUUAAACCCCAACUUCUGAAUGUUGACCUCGGAUCAGGUAGGAAUACCCGCUGAACUUAAG